rnacentral:tRNA from 1 species
AGGGCUGUAGCGCAGAGGUAGACGCACCGCCUUUGCAGGGCGGGGAACGCCGGUUCGACUCCGGCCGGCUCUG